AUUGAACGCUGGCGGCAGGCUUAACACAUGCAAGUCGAGCGAGCGGCGGACGGGUGAGUACUGUCUGGGAAACUGCCUGAUGGAGGGGGAUAACUACUGGAAACGGUAGCUAAUACCGCAUACCAUCAGAUGUGCCCAGAUGGGAUUAGCUAGUAGGUGGGGUAAUGGCUCACCUAGGGGACGAUCCCUAGCUGGUCUGAGAGGAUGACCGUCCACACGGGAUCUUAGACACGGUCCGGACUCCUACGGGCGACAGCAGUGGGGAAUUUUGCACAAUGGGCGCAAGCCUGAUGCAGCCAUGCCGCGUGUGUGAAGAAGGCCUUCGGGUUGUAAAGCACUUUCAGCGAGGAGGCGUUACUCGCAGAAGAAGCACCGGCUAACUCCGUGCCAGCCGCCGCGGUAAUUC
rnacentral:rRNA from 1 species